rnacentral:rRNA from 1 species
UACGUAGGGUGCAAGCGUUAAUCGGAAUUACUGGGCGUAAAGCGUGCGCAGGCGGUUUUGUAAGUCUGUCGUGAAAUCCCCGGGCUCAACCUGGGAAUUGCGAUGGAGACUGCAAGGCUGGAGUCUGGCAGAGGGGGGUAGAAUUCCACGCGUAGCAGUGAAAUGCGUAGAGAUGUGGAGGAACACCGAUGGCGAAGGCAGCCCCCUGGGUCAAGACUGACGCUCAUGCACGAAAGCGUGGGGAGCAAACAGG